rnacentral:rRNA from 1 species
GAUGAACGCUGGCGGCGUGCCUAAUACAUGCAAGUCGAGCGAACGGACGAGAAGCUUGCUUCUCUGAUGUUAGCGGCGGACGGGUGAGUAACACGUGGAUAACCUACCUAUAAGACUGGGAUAACUUCGGGAAACCGGAGCUAAUACCGGAUAAUAUUUUGAACCGCAUGGUUCAAAAGUGAAAGACGGUCUUGCUGUCACUUAUAGAUGGAUCCGCGCUGCAUUAGCUAGUUGGUAAGGUAACGGCUUACCAAGGCAACGAUGCAUAGCCGACCUGAGAGGGUGAUCGGCCACACUGGAACUGAGACACGGUCCAGACUCCUACGGGAGGCAGCAGUAGGGAAUCUUCCGCAAUGGGCGAAAGCCUGACGGAGCAACGCCGCGCGAGUGAUGAAGGUCUUCGGAUCGUAAAACUCUGUUAUUAGGGAAGAACAUAUGUGUAAGUAACUGUGCACAUCUUGACGGUACCUAAUCAGAAAGCCACGGCUAACUACGUGCCAGCAGCCGCGGUAAUACGUAGGUGGCAAGCGUUAUCCGGAAUUAUUGGGCGUAAAGCGCGCGUAGGCGGUUUUUUAAGUCUGAUGUGAAAGCCCACGGCUCAACCGUGGAGGGUCAUUGGAAACUGGAAAACUCGAGUGCAGAAGAGGAAAGUGGAAUUCCAUGUGUAGCGGUGAAAUGCGCAGAGAUAUGGAGGAACACCAGUGGCGAAGGCGACUUUCUGGUCUGUAACUGACGCUGAUGUGCGAAAGCGUGGGGAUCAAACAGGAUUAGAUACCCUGGUAGUCCACGCCGUAAACGAUGAGUGCUAAGUGUUAGGGGGUUUCCGCCCCUUAGUGCUGCAGCUAACGCAUUAAGCACUCCGCCUGGGGAGUACGACCGCAAGGUUGAAACUCAAAGGAAUUGACGGGGACCCGCACAAGCGGUGGAGCAUGUGGUUUAAUUCGAAGCAACGCGAAGAACCUUACCAAAUCUUGACAUCCUUUGACAACUCUAGAGAUAGAGCCUUCCCCUUCGGGGGACAAAGUGACAGGUGGUGCAUGGUUGUCGUCAGCUCGUGUCGUGAGAUGUUGGGUUAAGUCCCGCAACGAGCGCAACCCUUAAGCUUAGUUGCCAUCAUUAAGUUGGGCACUCUAAGUUGACUGCCGGUGACAAACCGGAGGAAGGUGGGGAUGACGUCAAAUCAUCAUGCCCCUUAUGAUUUGGGCUACACACGUGCUACAAUGGACAAUACAAAGGGCAGCGAAACCGCGAGGUCAAGCAAAUCCCAUAAAGUUGUUCUCAGUUCGGAUUGUAGUCUGCAACUCGACUACAUGAAGCUGGAAUCGCUAGUAAUCGUAGAUCAGCAUGCUACGGUGAAUACGUUCCCGGGUCU